rnacentral:tRNA from 2 species
GGGGAAAUAGCUCAGUCGGUUAGAGUGCUGGUCUGUCACGCCAGAAGUCGCGGGUUCGAACUCUAUACAAAGGGCCUUUCCUU